GGUCUUACCUCGGGGGGCCUUAGUGGCUGAGAUACGAAAGUGGACCCGUUGAACCUGAACCGAUUAAGAUCGGCGGAGGGAAGGUCUGGGAUUCUCCC
rnacentral:ncRNA from 2 species